rnacentral:rRNA from 1 species
UACGUAGGCAGCGAGCGUUGUUCGGAGUUACUGGGCGUAAAGGGUGUGUAGGCGGUCCCUUAAGUUUGGUGUGAAAUCUCCCGGCUCAACUGGGAGGAUGCGCCGGAUACUGAGGGGCUAGAGUGCGGGAAGGGAAAGUGGAAUUCCUGGUGUAGCGGUGAAAUGCGUAGAUAUCAGGAGGAACACCGGUGGUGCAAACGGCUUUCUGGACCGUAACUGACGCUGAGACACGAAAGCGUGGGGAGCAAACAGG